ensembl:lncRNA novel transcript
GCCAGAAGAUGGUCUCAAUCUCCUGACCUCGUGAUCUGCCCUCGGCCUCCCAAAGUGCUGAGAUUACAGGAGAAUCACUUGAACCCGGGAGGCAGAG